rnacentral:rRNA from 1 species
GAUGAACGCUGGCGGCGUGCCUAAUACAUGCAAGUCGAGCGAACGGACGAGAAGCUUGCUUCUCUGAUGUUAGCGGCGGACGGGUGAGUAACACGUGGAUAACCUACCUAUAAGACUGGGAUAACUUCGGGAAACCGGAGCUAAUACCGGAUAAUAUUUUGAACCGCAUGGUUCAAAAGUGAAAGACGGUCUUGCUGUCACUUAUAGAUGGAUCCGCGCUGCAUUAGCUAGUUGGUAAGGUAACGGCUUACCAAGGCAACGAUGCAUAGCCGACCUGAGAGGGUGAUCGGCCACACUGGAACUGAGACACGGUCCAGACUCCUACGGGAGGCAGCAGUAGGGAAUCUUCCGCAAUGGACGAAAGCCUGACGGAGCAACGCCGUGUGAGUGAUGAAGGUCUUCGGAUCGUAAAACUCUGUUAUUAGGGAAGAACAUAUGUGUAAGUAACUGUACACAUCUUGACGGUACCUAAUCAGAAAGCCACGGCUAACUACGUG